rnacentral:rRNA from 1 species
AGUGAACGCUGGCGGUAGGCCUAACACAUGCAAGUCGAACGGCAGCACAGUAAGAGCUUGCUCUUACGGGUGGCGAGUGGCGGACGGGUGAGGAAUACAUCGGAAUCUACUUUUUCGUGGGGGAUAACGUAGGGAAACUUACGCUAAUACCGCAUACGACCUACGGGUGAAAGCAGGGGAUCUUCGGACCUUGCGCGAUUGAAUGAGCCGAUGUCGGAUUAGCUAGUUGGCGGGGUAAAGGCCCACCAAGGCGACGAUCCGUAGCUGGUCUGAGAGGAUGAUCAGCCACACUGGAACUGAGACACGGUCCAGACGCCUACGGGAGGCAGCAGUGGGGAAUAUUGGACAGUGGGCGCAAGCCUGAUCCAGCCAUACCGCGUGGGUGAAGAAGGCCUUCGGGUGGUAAAGCCCUUUUGUUGGGAAAGAAAAGCAGCAGGUUAAUACCCCGCUGUUCUGACGGUACCCAAAGAAUAAGCACCGGCUAACUUCGU